rnacentral:lncRNA from 1 species
UACAAGUUAACUCAUGUGCAUAUAUUUCUAAGCUUGUUUUCAUACUAAAAGAAUAACUUUGAAUAUCCAAAUGAAUUGAAAAAAAUGCUUUUAGAUUAUCAAACACAAGUUCUUUGAGUUUUAAGCUUGUGUCUUCCUUUUUUGUCAUCAUGUCUUUCUUGAUUAUCAAAAAGAGGGCAUUUGGUAUUUUCUUGUAAUGAAAAAUCAGGAUGUUAUCUUCUUUUUCUCUUUUUCUUCUUUCUUUUCUCUCUUUUUCUUUUCUUCCUCCUCUCUUUCUUUAUUUUCUUUCUCCCUUCUCGCACUCUUUUCUUUCUCUUCUUUUUCUAUUUUUUCUCUUUCUCCGCCCUCUCUCUUUUCUUUCUCUUCUUUUCCUCUAGUUUCUCUUUUGUCCAUUUCUAUAAGUGAUAAUUUCUCUUGUGUUAUUUUAAGCUUUUGUUCUUGUUUUCUUUUCAAUGCACCUAAUUUUUAUAAAGUCCUUUCUUCCUC